AGUGAACGCUGGCGGUAGGCCUAACACAUGCAAGUCGAACGGCAGCACAGUAAGAGCUUGCUCUUACGGGUGGCGAGUGGCGGACGGGUGAGGAAUACAUCGGAAUCUACUUUUUCGUGGGGGAUAACGUAGGGAAACUUACGCUAAUACCGCAUACGACCUACGGGUGAAAGCAGGGGAUCUUCGGACCUUGCGCGAUUGAAUGAGCCGAUGUCGGAUUAGCUAGUUGGCGGGGUAAAGGCCCACCAAGGCGACGAUCCGUAGCUGGUCUGAGAGGAUGAUCAGCCACACUGGGACUGAGACACGGUCCAGACUCCUACGGGAGGCAGCAGUGGGGAAUAUUGGACAAUGGGCGCAAGCCUGAUCCAGCCAUACCGCGUGGGUGAAGAAGGCCUUCGGGUUGUAAAGCCCUUUUGUUGGGAAAGAAAAGCAGCAGGUUAAUACCCCGCUGUUCUGACGGUACCCAAAGAAUAAACACCGGCUAACUUCGU
rnacentral:rRNA from 1 species